UGGGGGAUAUUGCACAAUGGGCGAAAGCCUGAUGCAGCGACGCCGCGUGGGGGAUGAAGGCUUUCGGGUUGUAAACCUCUUUCGCUAUCGAACAAGGCCCGCUUAGGGUGGGUUGAGGGCAGGUGGAGAAGAAGCGCCGGCUAACUACGUGCCAGCAGCCGCGGUAAUACGUAGGGCGCGAGCGUUGUCCGGAAUUAUUGGGCGUAAAGGGCUUGUAGGCGGCUUGUUGCGCCUGCUGUGAAAACGCGGGGCUUAACUUCGCGCGUGCAGUGGGUACGGGCAGGCUUGAGUGUGGUAGGGGUGACUGGAAUUCCAGGUGUAGCGGUGGAAUGCGCAGAUAUCUGGAGGAACACCGAUGGCGAAGGCAGGUCACUGGGCCAUUACUGACGCUGAGGAGCGAAAGCAUGGGUAGCGAACAGG
rnacentral:rRNA from 2 species